GGCGAGCGCGCCUGCGCCCUGGAGCCCGAGCGCCGGGUUUCGGGCGCUGGGUCCCGGCGUCCCUGGGAGCUGCUGUGCUCCCACCCCCCUCUAGGAACUGGGAGCAGCCCCUCUGGAGGUUCCCCGGGCAUAAUUCUUACCGGCUGCGCAAGAGAUACUGAACGGCUCAUCGCUAGCUACGAAGUGCUGUUAUACAGGCUGUCCCGUGCCUCUCCGCCUUUUUCCCACCGCCCCAAGUUCUCGAAUAAAGGACCAUGGACUCCU